CCGCUGCCGCCGGAGCUGUCGGCGGCGGCAAAUGCUGCGAUGACUGGACUGCCCGUGCUCGAGAAGAUAGACCCUUCUCCUCUUUUAUCUCUCUCUGAGAUCGAAUGUUGUCUGGUUACAUCCACGGAUGACAGAGAGAGGAGAACGGUGGGGAAAAAUUUUGCCUUUCUUGCGCGGAAAAAGGCAGACAGAAGAAGAAGCUUUAUCAUUGAAAAUGGGUAUAAGCUGCUGUUAAUGGAAUUGAAAUAGAAGAAGAAGAAGAAGAGGAAGAAGAAGAAGAGCUGAAGAAGGAGGAGGUGAAGCUAAGCAUUUGAUUUUUAUAACGUUCUUCGAAUUUUCCAUAUUCAUUUGCUCAAAGUGUUUAUGUUCAUGAUGAUGAUGAUGAUGAUGAUGUAUGCUGUAUCCCUUUUUCCUCUGCUGAAUUUGAGUAGACUAACAUGAGAUCUAUGAAUACAGAAUCUACAAUCCUUCCCUUUUCU